GACUCCUUAGUGUAAUGGCAGCACGUUUCCCACCAGUCUGGUGCUGGAGAAGGAUUGGUUCGAAUUCAGCAGAGGUCA